GUAGGGAAUAUUGGACAAUGGGCGAAAGCCUGAUCCAGCCAUGCCGCGUGAUAGAUGAAGGCCCUCUGGGUUGUAAAUAUCUUUUAUCUGGGAAGAAACUCCUCUAUUCUUAGAGGCCUGACGGUACCAGAGGAAUAAGCACCGGCUAACUCCGUGCCAGCAGCCGCGGUAAUACGGAGGGUGCAAGCGUUAUCCGGAUUCACUGGGUUUAAAGGGUGCGUAAGCGGGUUGAUAAGUCAGUGGUGAAAGCUCCGGGCUUAACUUGGAAACUGCCAUUGAUACUGUCAGUCUUGAAUGUCGUAGAGGUAAGCGGAAUGUUGCAUGUAGCGGUGAAAUGCUUAGAUAUGUUACAGAACACCAAUUGCGAAGGCAGCUUACUAUGCGAUAAUUGACGCUGAGGCACGAAAGCGUGGGGAGCAAACAGGAUUAGAUACCCGAGUAGUCC
rnacentral:rRNA from 1 species